GUCAAGGACUGCACAGUAAGCAAAUAUUUCCAGGUUUUAUACAAUCAAAGGUAUAAAAGAAAGAUAUUGGUCUCCAGAAAAAGGGAAAACCUUAGGAAUCGAAAUGUGUGUCACAUGCAUUGUCUUGGGUAGUAGAUUUACUUUUAAGAAAAACUCCCUCAUCCAUUGUCCCUAGAGAUUUGGGUGCUAAGAAAAAUCUCUUCUCUAAUUCAGGGUUGUAAGCAACUCUCCCCAGCAAAAGCAUUGAUGACUUCUAAUGAAGCAGAGAGAAAUGUCUAGCUUUGGAAUAGAGGUUGCCAAAUGGUAUUCCUGGUGACACAUUAGAGACUGGAGGAUAGGGCCCCCACAGAAAUUGAUCCAUUUGGGGUGAGCUAGUUAGCAGGUAGGCCAUAGAACUUCCCAGUGACAUCAUCAGUAAGCCCUUCAUUGGACAAUCUAUUGUAUCUAAGAGAUCCCUAGAAUCUUCUGUGAUGUCACCAGUGUUGUGGUGACACCAACUGCCUUUGGGAUAUUCCUUCAGUUCCCUUUGGGUUCACAAGCAGGCAUGUUUCGUCAGCUGCUCAGGCCAUUUCGGAAGGAAAGUGGAGAUCAAGGAGAGACCACACCAAGUCAGAAGGAAGAUGACCUCCUGUCUAGUAAAACAGGAAGGAUGAAAUCAUUUUGGGGAAGGCUUGGUGAGCCUUGGCAGAGUUGGGGAACUUCCUUGAGGAGACAGGAGCCUAGAAAACCUGUCUUCUGAGGGGCUCCAGUCAGCUGUCAGUGGAAAGUGAUGCAGAGAAUCACAGACAAACAGAUGGAGCUCAAGGAGUCUGGCAGAAGAAUUGAGGGAAGGAUUGAGGGACACAAGAGGAACGGGUUUCAACUAUAAGACCAACAGAAUCAACUAACCUGGACCCUUGAGAACUACUGGAGACUUAAUUACCAACCGUAAGAAACAGAUAUGCAGCUUGCUCUUCAUGUGGGUAUCCCAAGAACUGUAGCUGGUGCUGUCUCUGAAACUGUUGCAUUCCUAUCUGCAGAUCCCAUUCCCCAACUCUGUAAUGGAGGUUCUGUUGUUAAAGUCUUGUACCCUAAUUGGUUCUUGAUUUUUCAAUAAAGAAGGCUGGGAGUCAA